ACUUAGCACUUCAGUGGCUUUUUACGAUUUGUCAAAUAGAUUUGGUCACGGUUAUAAAAUUUCAACUUUGGCUAGUAUUUACACAGCAGAAGCAAAAGCUAUAUUUUUAGCAUUAGAAUACAUAGAAAAACAGGUACUAUAUUCGAAAUGGAUUAUAAUUACAGAUAGUAUGAGUGUUCUUAUGGCAUUAAAAAAUAACACAUUCAUUUCAUCAUCAAACUACUUAAUUCAAGAAAUUCGUAAUAAAUAUUAUCAUCUCUGUACUAUAUAUGGAAAAGAUAUUAUCUUCAUCUGGACCCCUUCACAUAUUGGAGUGUUUGGGAAUGAACAAGUAGACACUUUGGCUAAAAUUAUUAAUUCAAGUGCUGCUCGUGUUCAAGAUUUACCCCUUUGUUACUCAGAUUGUAGUAUUGGAAUACAUAAAAUCGUUACAACUAAAUGGGAGGAGCAUUGGACUCAAAUAUUACAGACUAAAGGCAAAUGGUACCGCAAAAUUAAUUGGCGUAUUGGAAAACCGUGGUUCUGCAAAGGAAAGGACACAAACAGAAAAUUUUACACCAAUAUUUGUAGAUUACGAAUCGGCCACGGACUUUUCAACGAACACCUGCACCGAAUGGGCAUGAUCGCUUCCCCAUCAUGCACAUGGUGUAACUCAAAUACAGCCCAAUCUCUACAUCACCUUUUUUUUGAUUGCUCUGAAUUUGUCAUUCAAAGACACAUUAUGUUUGACGAACUUAGGAUUAUCUUCAAAAAACCCGAAAAUAUCCCGCACUCAAUCCCGCUUCUCUUAAGAUUUCCUUCUUGUUUCAAAGCUAUUUUCACUUAUAUUACUACAACAUUCAAGGAUCUAUAAGAAUACUUUUAUUGAAUUGCAAGACAAUGAUUUUUUAUAAUUAUUUAUUUUUAAUUUGAUAAAUCCACUGGUUUAAGAAAACUCAAGAAAAGAUAUUUAUGAAAAUGUACUUACCGGAUUUGACAAAUGAAAUAUUGAAGAUUAUGACAAUAAUUGAAGCGACAUUAGAAAAAUAAAAUUCCAGACAAAUUAUCUUUUUGAAGACUAGGCAGCAUGGUCUCCGACCUUAGCCUGUUCCAAACGGAACAAACGUACUAAAAAAAAAAAAAACACGAUGGUAGAUAGAGAAAGAAAUAUAUAAGUACACGUAUAGAAUAUAUAAGGAUGAAGGUAGUAGUUAUUAGCCAUCUAUAAGUAAACCACUAAAACCAUUAGUUUUACGUUACAUUCUGUAGGCCUCUAGAUAAAUCCAAUAGAUGACUUUAAAUACUUUUAAUAAAAUGGAUUUGUCCACCUGUUUCAAAGUAUUUGAGACCGUAGUAAAGACCGCAACAUACAGUAUUUUAGAUUACCUUUAUAUAAUCGUAAUAGAUUUGAUGUCGAUUACUCGAUCGAUUUGGUACUGAUAUCAUUAUUAGCAUUAAAAACUCUUAUCAUCAAGGGGAAACAUAAAAAAGGAAAAAUAAUACAAUAGAAUGAGGACCUCUUCAUUAUUUGAAGUAGGCAGAAAAGAAAUUUAUAGUCUAGCAGCAGUGGCUACCUAGAUUAUACAACUACUACGCAGGUAGUUACCAAAAGACAACGAUUAAGUUGGAAGUCUAGUUGUAUGGUAAUAAAACUGUAGAAUACGGAUAUAUGACAGAUCUCAGGAAUGGCAAUGCAAAAGAGUUAUCUUGGAUGUCACGGUAUAUUUCCUGAUACAGUGGACGUCAUAUAGGCGUUAGUGACCACCACCAGAUGUAUCCUCCGCUUAUUUCAUUCAUCAUUUGCAUAAAGAAAUACACGGUGAUUGCUAGCAUUUUAUAUCAUUACACAACAUUGUCAUAUAUAAUUACAAAUAAAAUACGAAGGAAACCAAAAACAAUUGUAACAAUAUUGAUAGGGCUACACAAUUGGGUUGAAAAUUAAAACACGAGUAAAAUUCGAUUUUCAAUAACUCAUUUAUUCAACUGUACACUGAUUCACAGUUAAUCUUUCAUGAAACAUCACAAGCACAGUAUUGCAAUUGAUCACCUAUAAUUAUUAUUAAGUUGCCUGUGCUACAAUCAAUCGUACGACGGUGAACAA